rnacentral:tRNA from 1 species
GUCUAUGUAGUAUAAUGAUUACACUGGGUCUUGUAAACCAGAAAAGGGGAAAAAUAAUUCCCCCAAAGACU